rnacentral:lncRNA from 1 species
CACCCACCCAUAGACUUAAAAUAUAAAUAGGCGCCGCCAGUACAAAACAGAAAACACAUGUAUGGGCAGGAAAGGAGAGAAAUUCGGGAUUGGAGUUUGUCUGGAAAAGGGCCCCGCUCGCCUCUGCGCAGCACCCCCUGAAGGACAGGAUGACUCCGGAAGGGCACCGCUGGCCACAUCUCCAAACCCGCUGCUUCCGGUCCAGAGAUCGAGGUGUCGUUGGGGCCCACAGACAGAUCUGUGUGGUGUUGCCUGCCUCGCUUGGAUUUCGGUCUCAGAUGAGGAGAAAGGCGGCCCACAAACCCAGGACGCAGCAGCUGCUACUCUGCACGAAAGCAACCAGACUUCUUGAGGACGCAGAGAGUCAACAAACAGCCUGUGCAGAUGGCAGCGGGAUCAGACAGUGGGGAAGAACAAGGACCUGUCCAGGAGUCUGGGGAGGACUCUGACGAGGGUCCUGCGUCCGAUGCAGAGAUGGCGCCAGGACCAUCGGGGACUUGUGUGCUGACUCCAGAGCCUUGGGAGUCUGGCAGCAGCGAGGCGGCGGACCAGGGGAGCCAGUUCCCAGUGCGCAUGUGCGCAGAGCUGCUAGAAGGCAAGAGCAGCUAAGACGAAAGGGGCAACUCGGGAAUAAGGCUUGGAGGUGAUUGGCCCUCCCACAAGGUAUAAAGGACAGGCAAAGGUAGAGAAACCUUUGCAGGAAGCAAAGUUGUUCGCUCUGUUAGGAUUAAACCUUGAAG